GGAGACUCACGAACGGCCUCUGUCGGAGCGGACUGACUCGUGAUGGAAGCCCAGAGCGUGGAGGACCUCGUGCUGGACCGUGCUUAGGUAGAGACAUCCGUUUCUCAACA